rnacentral:rRNA from 1 species
GAUGAACGCUAGCUACAGGCUUAACACAUGCAAGUCGAGGGGCAGCGGUAUCGAAAGCUUGCUUUCGGUAGCCGGCGACCGGCGCACGGGUGAGUAACGCGUAUCGAACCUGCCUCAUACUCGGGAAUAGCCUUGCGAAAGUAAGAUUAAUGCCCGGUGUUUUCAGAGUCCCGCAUGAGGCUUUGAACAAAGAUUUAUCGGUAUGAGAUGGCGAUGCGUCCCAUUAGCUUGUUGGCGGGGUAACGGCCCACCAAGGCAUCGAUGGGUAGGGGUUCUGAGAGGAAGGUCCCCCACAUUGGAACUGAGACACGGUCCAAACUCCUACGGGAGGCAGCAGUGAGGAAUAUUGGUCAAUGGGCGGAAGCCCGAACCAGCCAAGUAGCGUGCAGGAAGACGGCCCUCCGGGUUGUAAACUGCUUUUAGUUGGGAAUAAAACGGGGCUCGUGAGCCCCCUUGCAUGUACCAUCAGAAAAAGGACCGGCUAAUUCCGU